CGCUAUCACUCCUACGGGGAGGCAGCAGUAGGGAAUCGUUCCACAAUGGGCGCAAGCCUGAUGGAGCAACACCGCGUGAGUGAAGAAGGGUUUCGGCUCGUAAAGCUCUGUUGUUUAAAGAAGAACACGUAUGAGAGUAACUGUUCAUACGUUGACGGUAUUUAACCAGAAAGUCACGGCUAACUACGUGCCAGCAGCCGCGGUAAUACGUAGGUGGCAAGCGUUAUCCGGAUUUAUUGGGCGUAAAGAGAGUGCAGGCGGUUUUCUAAGUCUGAUGUGAAAGCCUUCGGCUUAACCGGAGAAGUGCAUCGGAAACUGGAUAACUUGAGUGCAGAAGAGGGUAGUGGAACUCCAUGUGUAGCGGUGGAAUGCGUAGAUAUAUGGAAGAACACCAGUGGCGAAGGCGGCUACCUGGUCUGCAACUGACGCUGAGACUCGAAAGCAUGGGUAGCGAACAGGAUUAGAUACCCUGGUAG
rnacentral:rRNA from 1 species